GACGAACGCUGGCGGCGUGCUUAACACAUGCAAGUCGAACGGAAAGACCCUGCUCUUGCGGGUUGCUCGAGUGCCGCAGGCGUGUGUAACACGCGUGUAUCACGCCCUUGUCUUUCGGAUAACUUCUCGAAACUCGGGCUAUAAUCGCAUAGAAGCUCCUGCUGCAUGGUGGUGUUUGGAAAGUUUAGGCGGUUCGGUCUCGUCUCGCGGGUUACCCGCUUGUUGGUGGGGUAGUGGCUUUCCAAGGUUUUGACGGGUAGCAGACAUGGGAGGGGGACCGGGCACAUUGGGACUGAGAUACGGCCCAGACUCGUACGGGAGGCAGCAGUGGGGAAUAUUACACAAUGGGCGGAAGCCUGAUGCAGCAACUCCGCGUGCGUGAUAACGGCCUUCGGGGUGAAAACCGCUUUCGCCUGUGACGAGGCGUGAGUGACGGUAAUGGGUAAAGAAGCACCGGCUAACUACGUG
rnacentral:rRNA from 1 species